CGCAUCUGUGCAUGCAGCAUAUCAAUAAGCGGAGGAAAAGAAACUAACAAGGAUUCCCCUAGUAACGGCGAGUGAAGCGGGAAGAGCUCAAAUUUGAAAUCUUAAAGGGUUUCCCUUUACGAAUUGUAGUUUAAAGAAGUGUUUUCUGUUGAGGUUUUGGUAAAGGUUCUUUGGGAAUAGGACAUCAUAGAGGGUGAGAAUCCCGUAUUUGACCUUUACUUUCAACUUUGUGAUACACUUUCAAAGAGUCGGAUUGUUUGGGAAUGCAGUCCAAAAUGGGUGGUAAAUUUCAUCUAAAGCUAAAUAUUGGCGAGAGACCGAUAGCGAACAAGUACCGUGAGGGAAAGAUGAAAAGAACUUUGAAAAGAGAGUUAAACAGUACGUGAAAUUGUCAAAAGGGAAGCGUUUGACACCAGUGUUGUUUUUCUGAAAAUCAAUUAAAGAACUGUUUAUGCUAAGCUGUUUAGACUUUAUCAGCUAUCUGUUUAGUUUUGAGCUUUUCUUUAAUGCACUUUUCAGUUAACAAGUCAACAUCAAUCUCUUUUGCUGUAAAAAAGCUUGAGGAAGGUGGCUUGAGAUUCGUCUUAAGUGUUUAUAGCCUCUUGCCUAUGCAGUCGGAGAGAUUGAGGUCUGCAGCGUAGAUCCUUCGGGGCUAAAUGCAUUUGUGCUAAGUUAUAGCAUUUUAUAGACAACUUGUUGACUAUGAUUUGUCUUGUAGCUUACUCGCUUAUGUUAUUUUACCUACGCUUAGGAUGUUGAGUCGUAGAGCACGCAG
rnacentral:rRNA from 1 species